rnacentral:tRNA from 1 species
GCGAAAGUGGCGGAACUGGCAGACGCGCUGGAUUUAGGUUCCAGUGGGAUAGCACCCGUGCGGGUUCGAGUCCCGCCUUUCGCACCA